UACGGAGGAUGCAAGCGUUAUCCGGAAUUAUUGGGCGUAAAGCGUCCGCAGGUGGUUGAACAAGUCUGCUGUCAAAGCGCGGAGCUUAACUCCGUACAGGCGGUGGAAACUGUUGAACUGGAGUACGGUAGGGGUAGCGGGAAUUCCCAGUGUAGCGGUGAAAUGCGUAGAUAUUGGGAAGAACACCAGCGGCGAAAGCGCGCUACUGGGCCUGUACUGACACUGAGGGACGAAAGCUAGGGGGGCGAAAGGG
rnacentral:rRNA from 1 species